GGUCUCUCUUCAGAUCGAGUAAAUCUUUUGCCUUUUACUAAAGAUUUCCAUGGAAUGAACCAGCAUA
rnacentral:snRNA from 1 species